rnacentral:rRNA from 2 species
AAAUUGAAGAGUUUGAUCAUGGCUCAGAUUGAACGCUGGCGGCAGGCCUAACACAUGCAAGUCGAGCGGAAACGAGUUAUCUGAACCUUCGGGGAACGAUAACGGCGUCGAGCGGCGGACGGGUGAGUAAUGCCUAGGAAAUUGCCCUGAUGUGGGGGAUAACCAUUGGAAACGAUGGCUAAUACCGCAUGAUGCCUACGGGCCAAAGAGGGGGACCUUCGGGCCUCUCGCGUCAGGAUAUGCCUAG